rnacentral:rRNA from 1 species
UUUUUGAAUUGAUAAUAUAAAGUCUAAUCUGCCCACUGAUAAUGAAUUAAAGGGCUGCAGUAUUUUGACUGUACAAAGGUAGCAUAAUCAUUAGUCUCUUAAUUGGUGACUUGUAUGAAAGAUUUGAUGAGAUAUAAACUGUCUCUUUAUAAUUUUUAGAAUUUAAUUUUUUAGUUAAAAAGCUAAAAUAUAUUUAAAAGACGAGAAGACCCUAUAGAGUUUAAUAUUUAAUAAUAUGUAUAUUAAAUAUUUUUUAUAAAAUUUAUAAUUUUAAUAUAAAUAAAUAUUUUAUUGGGGUGAUAGAAAAAUUAAAAUAACUUUUUUUAUAAUUUUACAUUAAUAAAUGAUUAAGUGAUCCGUAAUUUACGAUUAUAAGAAAAAAUUACCUUAGGGAUAACAGCGUAAUUUUUUUUUUUAGUUCAAAUAAGAAAAAAAGUUUGCGACCUCGAUGUUGGAUUAAGAUAAAAUUUAAAAGCAAAAGUUUAAAAUUUUUGAUCUGUUCGAUCAUUAAAAUCUUACA